rnacentral:rRNA from 1 species
AAGAAGGCGGAGCGUGAGCGACGUUGGACUGCUCAGAAGUGAGAAUGCUGGCAUGAGUAGCGAGAGAGGGGGAAGAACCCUCCCGCCGAAAGCCCCAGGUUUCCUGUCCCAGGAUCAUCCGGGCAGGGUCAGUCGGUCCCUAAGGGGUAGCUGAGAGGCGAACCCGAUGGACAUCAGGUUAAUAUUCCUGAACUUCCACACUGGAGCGGAGCGGGGACGAAGAAGGGCAGGUCAGCCGGUCAAUGGAUUCCGGUGCCAAUCCCGUAGGCUGUGGGCGUAGGAACAAAACGCGUCCACGAGGCCGAGAGGUGAUGGCGAGAGACUUCGGUCUCGAGUGGCUGAUCCCAUGCUUCCGAGAAAAGCCGCGGGCCGCGUUGAGGGUGUGGGAACCGUACCGGAAACCGACUCAGGUGGGCAGGUGGAGAACACCAAGGCGCUCGAGAGAACCCGGGUUAAGGAACUAGGC